rnacentral:lncRNA from 1 species
CGCAGGGCGCCCGGGGCAGCUGGCCGAGCCCUCGAUGCCUCCCGUCUGACGGAGGCGCCCGGGAAGCGCCGCCCACCUCGGCCCCGCACCCUCGCCGGCCUGCCGGGUCUCCGCCAGCCCUAGCAGACAGAGAGGGGCGCCGGUCCCUAGUCCCCCAGACCUCCAUUCAAGGUCAAAACUUUGCCCAGCUCAGCCUUGCUCGACCCUGGGCAGGGAAGCGCGGACAUCGGCAGAGGGAGCCCGAGGCUCUCCGUGCCCUUCGCGCCGCUCCCCAAGGAUGGAUAACACUAACAUAUAGUCAGUGGGAAAGAAAUCUCAGAAAAUAACUGUUAGUUUGUCACUGUCAUGGGAAAUGGGAAGGAAGAAAAACAGCACUUAUCAAGCAUCUUCUGUGUACAAACUGCCAUUUCAGACUCAGAGCAGUCCUUGAAGGUCAAGAACUGUGGAAUCUUUCAGAUGAUAUUCUGAUACUUCUGGACCAAGAUUGAAUUUGUUCUUCAUGAAAAAUGUCUGGGACCUUUUAUGUGGGAGGAGCCAAGAUGGCCGAAUAGGAAAAGCUCCGGUCUACAGCUCCCAGCGUGAGCAACGCAGAAGACGGGUGAUUUCUGCAUUUCCAUCUGAGACAAGGUCUCACCCUGUUGCCCAGGCUGGAGCCCAGUGGCGCGAUCACAGCUCACUACGGCCUUGACUUGUGCUCAGGCGAUCCUCCCACCUCAGCCUCCUGAGUACCCGGGAUUACAGGCGUGUGCCACCACAUGCAGCUAAUGUAAAACAUUUUUAUUCUGUAGAGACAGGAUCUCACUAUGUUGCCCAGGCUAGUCAGACAAGUCUCGAACUCCUGGGCUCAGGCAGUCUUCUGCCUCAGCCUCCCAAAGUGCUGGGAUUACAGGUGUAAGCCAUGGCAUCUGACCCGAAGAUAAAUGUACUUGUCCUGUACUUUGUCAGAAUGUUCCUAAAUAGAAUAGGUAAAAGCCUGAGACCCCUUCUGAUUGAAAAGAUUAAAAAGUUAAGUCACCUUGUUCUGUUGCAUAUAUUAAAAAUUAAUUGUUGUAACAAUGGAAACAAUUGUGUUUCAUUAGGAGGUAUUUCUGUGAGCAUUAAUAGGGAAUGUUUUUCCUUUGCAUCAGAGCUUUUCCAGAAUGCAUUUCUCUUGUAAAUAGCUUGUAAUUUAUUUUUCAAGUUUUCAUACUUAACAGUGAAUAUGCUAUUGGGGUGAGAGAUGUGAUGGUAAACUUAUCAAUGACGGCCCAUUAAAAAGCAAACCAAAUUCUAGAGAAAGCUCAUUUAUUCAUACCUCAAAUAUUUGUCAUGUAACUAUGUGUCAGGCACUGUGCUGGGGAGUAAAGACUGAAUAAUCAAUAAGACACAAUCCUGAAGGGACUUAACACAGAUACUCACCCACUUUAAACUAUAAUAAGUGACAGUAGUAGGACUAGGCAUAGGGUGCUAAGAAACAACAGAAGGUGCAUCCAACUCUAUGUCAAACGGAAGCCAGGGAAUGCUUUCUCGGAGGAAAUAUUGUCUGAGUGCCAACCUGAAGGUCACACAGAGCAAACUAGGAGAAGGUGAAGAAGAGAAGGCUUUGUUACAGAGGCAGGUGCAGGAACAGGAGGUGACAGAGGUGACAGAACAUAGUGGUUCAGAGAUCUGAUUAUAGAGUUGUGGGAGGGCCUGAGGAAAAACUGCAAGAGAUAAGGCUGAAGGGGUAAACCAGGGCUCUAUCU